AACGUACUCCCUCCGUUCGAAAAUACUUGUCCUAGAAAUGAAUGAAUCUAGACUUAUUUUAGUUAUAAAUACAUGCAUUAUAUUCAUUUUUAAGACAAGUAUUUUCGGACGGAGGGAGUAUGUA
rfam:Hordeum vulgare subsp. vulgare, WGS project CAJW01000000 data, contig: morex_contig_1561874